GAACGAGAAAGUGGAGCAAUCCAUGAGUAAAGUGGCGACCGGNGUGAGUAACACGUGACUAACCUACCCUAGAGCGGGGGAUAACCUCGGGAAACCGGGGCUAAUACCGCAUAACAUCGCGAGGGGAAGUUCCUUGCGAUCAAAGGAGCAAUCCGCUCCAGGAGGGGGUCGCGGCUGAUUAGCUAGUUGGUGAGGUAACGGCUCACCAAGGCGAAGAUCAGUAGCCGGCCUGAGAGGGCGCACGGCCACACUGGAACUGAAACACGGUCCAGACUCCUACGGGAGGCAGCAGUGGGGAAUCUUGGACAAUGGGGGAAACCCUGAUCCAGCCAUGCCGCGUGAGUGAAGAAGGCCUUCGGGUUGUAAAGCUCUUUCGGCGGGGACGAUGAUGACGGUACCCGCAGAAGAAGCCCCGGCUAACUUCGUG
rnacentral:rRNA from 1 species